rnacentral:lncRNA from 1 species
AUGGGGGGUCCUGAGGAGACGGGGGGACAGGGAAGGGGGGCACCCAGGAGCUCUGGACCGAGCGAGGGUCGGCGGCAGCAGCCUGGGGACCUAGAUAUGGGGCAGCCCCAAGAGGCGGGCUGGAGGGAGCGGGGAGGCUCCAGCGGGCCCGAAGGGACCCAGGCGUCCGGCGCACCCACGUGGGGGGUGGCUGGCAGCGAGGAGGGCCUCGCAGGGCCGGCGGCAGCGCAGGGGCCGCGGAAGCUGGAGCGGAGGGACGUAGGGACCCAGGUGUCCUGGGGUCCAGGCGUGGGGCCCCUUGACAAUGGGGGGACCCAGGUCCCAGCCGUGGGGAAGGCCCCGCAGGGACAGGGUGGCCCGAGGAGAGUCACGAUGAGCAGAUGGGGGCCUCGUGGGUUUGGGGGUCCCCCAGGCAGCGGGAGCCUGGAGAGCCUGGGCCGCCCUCCGCCCGGCUCCGGCAGCCAAGCAGCGAGGCAGGAGAAGAGAGCCUCGUGGUGCGUGGGGGUCUGCGAGUCCUGCGUGGCUGUGGCCGUGAAAGGAAAGGGCGUCCCCAAAGAGGUGGGGACCCAGCUCUCCCACAGGGAGGAUUGGGAGUUGGGUGCGGGGGGCCCAGGGGUGGUCAGGGGAAGAGGCGGCGAGGAACCAGAGUUCCCGGCGCGGGGCGUCAGCCGCAGCCACUCCGGGGGGAUCUUGGGGCAUGUGGGUCCCCAGAGGGAUCCUGUAAGGGGAGCUGGGAUGUGGGUCCAGAAGGAGUUUUACCGGGACCCUGCGGAGGCUUCUGGGCAGGUCUGGGUGCCCCGCAAGCCAGCCAGGGCCUCUGAUAGGAUGGGGCUGCCGUGGCUGCAACGGGAAGCCAGUCCCCAGGGGAAGCAGAGAGAGUGGAAGCCCGAAUCUAGGGGUGUCGGUUGUUCCCCAGAACGUAGCCAGGUCUGGAUCCCCCGAGAGAAGCCAGUUCCUGCGGGUGGGGGUCCCGGGGAUGUCUGGAUUCACAAGGUGAGGGAUCCCUCUGGGGCUGGGAUCAUGUGGGUCUGGGCCAAGGUGACAAAUUGUAAUGAAGAAGAUGAAGCAGAGGAGACCAGGGUUUGGACCUUCCGUAAGGAGGGCCCUAGGAAAGGGGGGCAAGGUGAGGGUGGAUAUGGGGUAUCUUAG